UAGGAGCGGCGGUCCUUGUGGGAGCUUGUCCAGUCACGCAGUGUGUAAUCGGGUCUGCGUAGCGCGCACUACACUUUAGUUGAACUAUCCUCCGUGAAAAAAAGCUGUAGGAGCAACUGGAACCCGAACAACUGACCCAGACAAACUCCUGUAGCAACACGAUGGUAAUUGCUUCCGCUUCCAAAUACCCAGAGACAGCCGCUAACUCCCUCUGGAUGAUUGACGGCAUUCAUUUCUCCUCUGCCAAACAGCGGUCACUGUGAGUCUAGUGCUGCGAUGCAGAGCACAGGGGUGUUUUGAUUACGUCCACGCUUUGGCCUGCUCACUGCUCCCAGGCCAGGGGGGGGAGAGAGAGAGAGAUUUUUUAUCUCAUCGAACUCUACUACACACAAUUGUUUUACUAAUAAAACUUAUUUUGUCCUCCUCACUCGCUCCCUCUUGUUAUUUCCUCUCUACACAGUUGGGACAAUAUGACGUUUGGUACCUCUUUGGCUAUAGGAACACACCAUGACAGUGUGUCUGACGUGGAUGACACAUGGAUGUACCGCCGUGUGGAUCUGACGGCUCCAUCAUCUGCCUGAUUUAAACACAACUCUGGAUUUGGUUUUUGAACAAAAUAUGCAAAACCAUUUACUUCUAUAAAUAUAGAGGUAUAUGAUAGUAACC
ensembl:lncRNA